GAAUAUUGCACAAUGGGGGAAACCCUGAUGCAGCGACGCCGCGUGAGUGAAGAAGUACUUCGGUACGUAAAGCUCUAUCAGCAGGGAAGAAGAUGACGGUACCUGACUAAGAAGCCCCGGCUCACUACGUGCCAGCAGCCGCGGUAAUACGUAGGGGGCAAGCGUUAUCCGGAUUUACUGGGUGUAAAGGGAGCGUAGGUGGCGAAGCAAGUCAGAUGUGAAAGCCCGGGGCUCAUCUCCGGGACUGCAUUUGAAACUGUUUUGCUAGAGUGCAGGAGAGGUAAGUGGAAUUCCUAGUGUAGCGGUGAAAUGCGUAGAUAUUAGGAGGAACACCAGUGGCGAAGGCGGCUUACUGGACUGUAACUGACACUGAGGCUCGAAAGCGUGGGGAGCAAACA
rnacentral:rRNA from 1 species